ACCAUCAAGAUAUUCGGAGCUAAC
rnacentral:piRNA from 1 species